rnacentral:rRNA from 1 species
AUUGAACGCUGGCGGAAUGCUUUACACAUGCAAGUCGAACGAUGAAGCCUAGCUUGCUAGGUCGAUUAGUGGCGAACGGGUGAGUAAUAUAUCGGAACGUAUCCAAUAAUGGGGGAUAACUAGUCGAAAGAUUGGCUAAUACCGCAUACGUCCCACGGGAGAAAGCUGGGGAUGGUAAGACCUGGCGUUAAUGGAGCGGCCGAUAUCUGAUUAGCUAGUUGGUGAGGUAAAGGCUCACCAAGGCGACGAUCAGUAGCUGGUCUGAGAGGACGACCAGCCACACUGGAACUGAGACACGGUCCAGACUCCUACGGGAGGCAGCAGUGGGGAAUUUUGGACAAUGGGCGAAAGCCUGAUCCAGCCAUUCCGCGUGAGUGAAGAAGGCCUUCGGGUUGUAAAGCUCUUUCGCAAGGGAAGAACACUUACUUAAUAACACUAAGUGAGGUUGACGGUACCUUGAUAAGAAGCACCGGCUAACUACGUGCCAGCCGCCGCAGUAAGAC